UACAGAGGGUGCGAGCGUUAAUCGGAGUUACUGGGCGUAAAGGGCGCGUAGGCGGUGAGAUGGGUGUGAUGUGAAAGCCCUGGGCUUAACCUAGGAAGUGCAUCGCAAACUAUGUUACUGGAGUAUAUGAGAGGGUGGCGGAAUUUCCGGUGUAGCGGUGAAAUGCGUAGAGAUCGGAAGGAACGUCGAUGGCGAAGGCAGCUGCCUGGCAUAAUACUGACGCUGAGGCGCGAAAGCGUGGGGAGCGAACAGG
rnacentral:rRNA from 1 species